GACGAACGCUGGCGGCGUGCUUAACACAUGCAAGUCGAACGGAAAGGCCCUGCUUUUGUGGGGUGCUCGAGUGGCGAACGGGUGAGUAACACGUGAGUAACCUGCCCUUGACUUUGGGAUAACUUCAGGAAACUGGGGCUAAUACCGGAUAGGAGCUCCUGCUGCAUGGUGGGGGUUGGAAAGUUUCGGCGGGUGGGGAUGGACUCGCGGCUUAUCAGCUUGUUGGUGGGGUAGUGGCUUACCAAGGCUUUGACGGGUAGCCGGCCUGAGAGGGUGACCGGCCACCUUGGGACUGAGAUACGGACCAGACUCCUACGGGAGGCAGCAGUGGGGAAUAUUGCACAAUGGGCGGAAGCCUGAUGCAGCAACGCCGCGUGCGGGAUGACGGCCUUCGGGUUGUAAACCGCUUUCGCCUGUGACGAAGCGUGAGUGACGGUAAUGGGUAAAGAAGCACCGGCUAACUACGUG
rnacentral:rRNA from 1 species